GCCAAAUCAGUUAAUUAUAUUAGUAUUUACAUGGUCUUAAGAUCUUAGCUUAAUGAACCAAAUGUGAUUUGUCAAAAUUGACAACUGGGAAGGAAGGCCAAGAAUCUGAAAGAAAGACCAGAGAUUAUGCAGAAACUGGAACAGCAGAAGGAGAAAACUAUCAGCUAUAUGGUGAAUAUUAGAGGACUUCAAGCCUAUACAGAGAAAUUUGACCUACAGGCUUCUGGCAGAACUGUCUCUGAG
rnacentral:lncRNA from 1 species